UGCACCAGAUGAGCUCCAUGUACAGCACCCUAAACUCUACCAGUUUCACUAAAGGAAAAAAGUUCCCCAUUAUUAUCUGAUGUAUCCAUUGAAUAACAUGUUGUCACAGCUUGCCUACAAGAGAAACUCAUGUUACAGGAUAACCCAUCAGAAAAUAGACUCAGCCACUAUCAUGGCACAGCAUACAGAUAAUCAGUAACCCUCCUCCCUGGUGCCCUGGCCUCUCUCCUUCUCUCGUCUGUUCAGAGGGAGAGAUCUCUGUGCUUUGUGAAGAGCGGAUGAGGGACCUUUCAAGAUGCUUUUCACAGUGUGGCAGAGAUGUAAAUUCACUCCUUGCUACAGACAAUACCGUAACAAUACUCAAGCCAAGGACAGGCAGACUGAGCAAGCAGAGCAGUCCUGUUUCACUGCAGCUCACUUGAUGGAAGGACUUUCUGUGGAAACAAAAAUCCAAGAACAGAUGCUUUGAGAAACAUGCACUAAGGAGAGCUGUUCAUUUGCACUUAUCCACCCCUCACUUGCAGUUGUUCUUUGUGGCUUGUAAGCUGGAUGUGCUAAUCGCACGUUUCAGAUAUGUGUACUUUGUAAAAUACCUUAUUAAAUAAUUUGGGCCAGCUUAAA